GGAUUCCCCUAGUAACUGCGAGUGAAGCGGGAAGAGCUCAAAUUUGAAAUCUGGCAGUUCUUUGACUGUCCGAGUUGUAAUCUAGAGAAGUGCUGCCUGUGCUGGACCAUGUACAAGUCUUCUGGAAUGGAGCAUCACAGAGGGUGAGAAUCCCGUCUUUGACAUGGACUACCUGUACAUUAUGGUGUGCUCUCAAAGAGUCGAGUUGUUUGGGAAUGCAGCUCAAAAUGGGUGGUAAAUGCCAUCUAAAGCUAAAUAUUGGCGAGAGACCGAUAGCGAACAAGUACCGUGAGGGAAAGAUGAAAAGAACUUUGGAAAGAGAGUUAAACAGUACGUGAAAUUGCUGAAAGGGAAACGCUUGAAGUCAGUCGCGUUGGCUAGAAAUCAGCCUUGCUUUUGCUUGGUGUACUUUCUGGUUGACGGGUCAGCAUCAAUUUUGACCAUUGGAUAAAGUCUUUGGGAAUGUGGCAUCUUUGGAUGUGUUAUAGCCCAUUGUCACAUACGAUGGUUGGGAUUGAGGAACUCAGCACGCCGCAAGGCCGGGUUUCGACCACGUUCGUGCUUAGGAUGCUGGCAUAAUGGCUUUAAUCGACCCGUCUUGAAACACGGACCAAGGAGUCUAACAUGCCUGCGAGUGUUUGGGUGGAAAACCCAUGCGCGUAAUGAAAGUGAAAGUUGAGAUCCCUCUAAUAAAGGGAGCAUUGACGCCCGGACCAGACCUUUUGUGACGGAUCCGCGGUAGAGCAUGUAUGUUGGGACCCGAAAGAUGGUGAACUAUGCCUGAAUAGGGUGAAGCCAGAGGAAACUCUGGUGGAGGCUCGUAGCGAUUCUGACGUGCAAAUCGAUCGUCAAAUUUGGGUAUAGGGGCGAAAGACUAAUCGAACCAUCUAGUAGCUGGUUCCUGC
rnacentral:rRNA from 1 species